rnacentral:tRNA from 4 species
GCCUCAGUAGCUCAGGGGAUAGAGCAGCGGCCUUCUAAUCCGCCGGUCGGGGGUUCGAUUCCCUCCUGGGGCACC